rnacentral:tRNA from 1 species
GGGGGUAUAGCUCAAUUGGCAGAGUGCUUGCCUCACAGGCACCAAAGCCCUGGAUUCAAUCCCCAGCACCACCA